rnacentral:rRNA from 1 species
AUGCCGCUCCUCUCCUCCCCGGACGCCGGAGACCACCAGCAGCAACUGCAGAUUGUUCCCUCGUCCGUCGGCGUCGCCCCCUCGAAGCCCGAGCCCGCGCCGACGGUGUCCACCCACACGCGCACCAUCGGCAUCAUCCACCCUCCGCCGGACAUCCGGGUGAUUGUCGAGAAAACGGCCACCUUCGUCGUCAAUAACGGGCCCGAGUUCGAGCGCCGCAUCGUCGCCCACAACCAGGGCAAUGCCAAGUUCAGUUUCCUCCAGCCCUCCGACCCCUACCACGCCUACUACCAGCACCGCGUCUCUGAGAUCGCCGAACAUUCGCCCGCCGCUGAUGCCUCCGCCGCGCCGGAGUCCGAGGACGGCCAGCCUCUCCCGUCCGACUCUGCUGAUGGCGCCGAUGACAAGCCCGACCACUCUGCGCCCUUCCGUGUGGCACCGCUGACCAAGGUGCUGGUGCCACCCAAGGCUGAGCUCUACAUGGUGCGGCUGCCUGAGGGUAUCACUGGGGAGGAGCUCGACAUCAUCAAGCUGACUGCACAGUUCGUGGCUCGGAAUGGGAAGAACUUCCUGACGAGCCUGGCACACCGAGAGAGCACCAACUCGCAGUUUAACUUCAUCCGACCCACGCACAGCAUGUUUCCUUUCUUCACCAUGUUUGCCGACGUGUACACGAGGGUGCUGAGCCCGGAUGAGGGUGUGCCUGCACUGACAAAGGAGCUGCGGGAGGGGUCGAAGGACCUCACCACUGUGCUGGAGCGGUGCCUGAAUCGGCUGGAGUGGGACCGAUCACAGGAGCAGGCGAAGCAACAGGCAGAGGAUGAACUUGAGCUGGAGAGGGUGCAGAUGUCGAUGAUUGAUUGGCAUGAUUUUGUUGUUGUUGCGACAAUUGAGUUCGCAGAUGAUGAAUAUGAGGGGCUUCCUGUGCCGCCUACGCUAGAAGAAUUGAAGCGCCGGAAGAGGAUGGAGACCUUGGGAGAGGAGGAACCCAUGGAAUUGGCUGAACCAGCUAAGGAUGUUGAGAUGGAGAUGGAUGAGGAGGAGAUGCAACUUGUUGAGGAAGGAAUGAAGGCAGCAAGGCUUGAGGAGAACGGAGGAGGAGCACAAGUUAGGGUGGCCGGUGAUCAGGAGCCGCCUAUGAGAAUUGUCAAGAACUAUAAGAGGCCCGAGGAGAGGAUCCCUGCGGCGAGGGACCCGACCAAGUUUGUUGUUUCAACAAUAACCGGAGAGCUCAUUCCGAUUAGCGAGAUGGGGGAACACAUGCGCAUCUCGCUCAUUGACCCGAAGUACAAGGAACAGAAGGAAAGAAUGCUGGCCAAGAUUAAGGAGACCACGCUUGCUCCAGAUGAUGAGGUCGUCAAUAACAUUGUUGGUCUUGCACGGACAAGGCCAGACAUAUUUGGAACGACUGAGGAAGAGGUUUCUAAUGCCGUCAAGGCAGAAAUUGAAAAGAAAAAGGAUGAGCAGCCAAAGCAGGUUAUUUGGGAUGGUCAUUCUGGUAGCAUUGGUCAAACUGCCACUCAGGCAAUGUCUAUGGGUGGUGAAGAACAAGUUGAUGCCUCAAAUGUUCCAGGUCCAGCUCCACUUCCCCGGUUUGUCAUGCCGUUGCCCCAGCCUCCUCAACCACUUUCUUUGGUUAAUGUUCCCCGAUUUACACCAAAUCCAAUGCCUUAUCAUCUCCAAACCCCAGCUCAUCAUAAGCAAGGAGUUCCACAUAUGAUGUCCAACAUGCACCCACAGAUGAUUAGGAUGUCAGGUCCCAUGGGUCCUAUGCCAAACAAUAUCCCCCCUCGUCCAGGCCAUAUUACUCAGUUCAUGCCUGGUCCACCAAGGUUCCCUAUGCCGCCAACCCCGCACAUGCAGACCACGCCAACCAUGGUCAACCCCAUCGGAAUCCCCCAGGCUCCACCACCUUUGCCUCCACAACCACCUGCCGAGGAGCAGCCACCUCUACCUGAGGAACCAGAACCUAAGAGGCAGAGAACAGAUGAUGCUUCUCUGAUCCCAGCUGAGCAGUUUCUUGUUCAGCAUCCGGGCCCUGCGCGCAUGUUGGUUUCUGUACCCAACCUCGAUGAAGGAAGCUUGCGAGGCCAAGUUUUGGAGAUCUCUGUCCAUUCACUCUCAGACACAGUCGGCAGUCUGAAGGAGCAGAUUGCUGGAGAGCUGCAGCUUCCUGCUAAUAAGCAGAAGUUGAGUGUGAGAACUAGUUUCCUCAAAGACAAUCUUUCUCUUGCUUAUUACAAUGUUGGCCCUGGGGUGGUGAUCAAUCUAACUCUGAGAGAGCGCGGUGGGAGAAAGAAAUGA